GGUGUUUUGGAGCUUGGAAUGAAGAAUUUGAUGGAGAAUUUGAUGGUUAUCUUCGGAUUUUGUAUCGUACAUCAAGAUCGGACGAGCGACUAUCGACAAGGCUUGAGGCAAACGGAUCGAGAUAUCGUCAAGCUUAUUUGAAGAAUUUGGAUAGCAAGUGGGAUAGUAUGAUAUGAUUUGAAGAGUCAAGCUUCCGAAGUUUUAAUUCUCGGAAGUCAUUUGCACAAGAAGUAAAAGAAGAUUUUCAUUC